UUUUUUUAGAUAAUGCCACCCAACCCAAUUAAAUAUGGAUAGAUGGGUUCAUUCAACUUCUUUUUGAGUUAAUAUUUUUUGAUAAAUGCCUAUUACAAAUUAUACAUUCUUACUUUUGCAGGUGCAUUACAAAGUAUACAUUCUUACUUUUGCAGGUGCAUUACAAAGUAUGCAUUCUUACUUUUGCAGUGAUAAAAAAUCUGUACAAAACAAACUCGGCUUCGAAGUCGAAGGAUCUUUUAGCAGACACCCAGAGGUAAUCAC
rnacentral:lncRNA from 1 species